AACGUAGGAGGCGAGCGUUAUCCGGAUUUAUUGGGCGUAAAGCGUGUGUAGGCGGUUUGAUAAGUUGGAUGUGAAAGCUCCUGGCUUAACUGGGAGAGGUCGUUCAAAACUAUCAGACUUGAGAGUGGUAGAGGGAGGUGGAAUUCCGGGUGUAGUGGUGAAAUGCGUAGAUAUCCGGAGGAACACCAGUGGCGAAAGCGGCCUCCUGGCCCAUUUCUGACGCUCAGACACGAAAGCUAAGGUAGCAAACGGG
rnacentral:rRNA from 1 species